CAGUCGCCACGGGAAUACGGAGGGGGCUAGCGUUGUUCGGAAUUACUGGGCGUAAAGCGCACGUAGGCGGCUUGGUAAGUUAGAGGUGAAAGCCUGGAGCUCAACUCCAGAAUUGCCUUUAAGACUGCCGAGCUAGCAGGUGAGAGAGGUAAGUGGAAUUCCGAGUGUAGAGGUGAAAUUCGUAGAUAUUCGGAAGAACACCAGUGGCGAAGGCGGCUUACUGGCUCAUACUGGACGCUGAGGUGCGAAAGCGUGGGGAGCAAACAGGAUUAGAUACCCGCGUAGUCCCUGUCUCUUAUAC
rnacentral:rRNA from 1 species